GAUGAACGCUGGCGGCGUGCCUAAUACAUGCAAGUCGAGCGAACAGAUGAGGAGCUUGCUCCUCUGACGUUAGCGGCGGGCGGGUGAGUAACACGUGGAUAACCUACCUAUAAGACUGGGAUAACUUCGGGAAACCGGAGCUAAUACCGGAUAAUAUAUUGAACCGCAUGGUUCAAUAGUGAAAGACGGUUCUGCUGUCACUUAUAGAUGGAUCCGCGCCGCAUUAGCUAGUUGGUAAGGUAAUGGCUUACCAAGGCAACGAUGCGUAGCCGACCUGAGAGGGUGAUCGGCCACACUGGAACUGAGACACGGUCCAGACUCCUACGGGAGGCAGCAGUAGGGAAUCUUCCGCAAUGGGCGAAAGCCUGACGGAGCAACGCCGCGUGAGUGAUGAAGGUCUUCGGAUCGUAAAACUCUGUUAUUAGGGAAGAACAAAUGUGUAAGUAACUAUGCACGUCUUGACGGUACCUAAUCAGAAAGCCACGGCUAACUACGUG
rnacentral:rRNA from 1 species